AUUGAACGCUGGCGGCAGGCCUAACACAUGCAAGUCGAACGAGUGGCGGACGGGUGAGUAAUGUCUGGGAAACUGCCUGAUGGAGGGGGAUAACUAAUGGAAACGGUAGCUAAUACCGCAUACCAUCGGAUGUGCCCCGAUGGGCUUAGCUAGGAGGUGGGGUAACGGCUCACCUAGGAGACGAUCCUUAGCUGGUCUGAGAGGUGUAACAUCCACACUGGAACGUAGACACGGUCCAGACUCCUACGGGAGGCAGCAGUGGGGAAUUUUGCACAAUUGGCGCAAUCCUGAUGCAGCCAUGCCGCGUGUAUGAAGAAGGCCUUCGGGUUUUAAAGUACUUUCAGCGGGGAGGCGUUACCCGCAGAAGAAGCACCGGCUAACUCCGUGCCAGCAGCCGCGGUAAUAC
rnacentral:rRNA from 1 species